GGACCCAUAGCUCAGUUGGUUAGAGCGCUUCCUUGACAUGGAAGAGGUCAGAGGUUCGAGUCCCCUUGGGUCCA
rnacentral:tRNA from 1 species